rnacentral:rRNA from 1 species
ACGAACGAGACCUUAGCCUGCUAAAUAGGAUCGGGAACUUUUUUGUUCUCGCAUCACUUCUUAGAGGGACUUUGCGUGUCUAACGCAAGGAAGUUUGAGGCAAUAACAGGUCUGUGAUGCCCUUAGAUGUUCUGGGCUGCACGCGCGCUACACUGAUGCAUGCAACGAGUUUUUGACCUUGGCCGGAAGGUCUAGGUAAUCUUUUGAGUAUGCAUCGUGAUGGGGAUAGAUUAUUGCAAUUAUUAAUCAUCAACGAGGAAUGCCUAGUAGGCGCAAGUCAGCAGCUUGUGCCGAUUACGUCCCUGCCCUUUGUACACACCGCCCGUCGCUGCAACCGAUCGGAGGGUCCUGUGAACUCGAUGGACUGCCCAUCCCCUUCUUGGGGUUGGGCUGGAAGUUGCGUAAAUAGAGCCCUCUAAAGGAUGCAAAAGUCGUAACACGGUUUCCGUAGGUGAACCUGCGGAAGGAUCAUUC